rnacentral:rRNA from 1 species
GACGAACGCUGGCGGCGUGCUUAACACAUGCAAGUCGAACGGAAAGGCCCUGCUUUUGUGGGGUGCUCGAGUGGCGAACGGGUGAGUAACACGUGAGUAGCCUGCCCUUGACUUUGGGAUAACUUCAGGAAACUGGGGCUAAUACCGGAUAGGAGCUCCUGCUGCAUGGUGGGGGUUGGAAAGUUUCGGCGGUUGGGGAUGGACUCGCGGCUUAUCAGCUUGUUGGUGGGGUAGUGGCUUACCAAGGCUUUGACGGGUAGCCGGCCUGAGAGGGUGACCGGCCACAUUGGGACUGAGAUACGGCCGAGACUCCUACGGGAGGCAGCAGUGGGGAAUAUUGCACAAUGGGCGGAAGCCUGAUGCAGCAACGCCGCGUGCGGGAUGACGGCCUUCGGGUUGUAAACCGCUUUCGCCUGUGACGAAGCGUGAGUGACGGUAAUGGGUAAAGAAGCACCGGCUAACUACGUG